rnacentral:lncRNA from 1 species
GCUUUCUGCAUGCUGUACAACUGGAGGUCAGUCACAUUCACGUGUCUGGGUGAAAGCUGGAGACUGUAAUUACAGCUUACCUGCAUUGGAAAUAAGAGUCUGCCCAGACUAGAAUGGAUUUGUAUAUUUUAAAUUGAGAGAGGGUCUAACUUAAAAUAUUUUGGGGCAAAAUGUAUUUCAGGGAAUAAUGAAGAGUCCACCUACCACUGCAGCAGACAUCAAAACAAGAGCAGAGCACAGCUGACAAUGCAGGAUCCAGAGAGUGGAAACUGUAAGCAACCCAGGAGUAUCAGUUUGCUCAACCAUGCUUUUUAUUUUCCAGUCAUGCCUGAGUUUGGAAGGAAUAUGACCACAUCAAGGAAAGUACUCCAAACUGGAUUUGACUAAAACUCAAAAGAUGGACUAAUCUGAAUACCACAGAACUGAACAGUGGAUAAUGUUGCGGGUACAAAUGGCAGUCUCACCACUGAGAAGAAAACAAGCUGUAUAUCAUUAGGGGUUUAUCUGUUGUAUCCCCUGCCAUGAUUUUUGUGGGGCUGGUCCUACACAGAUUUUAAUUCUUGCUGUGGUUUUUGUUACAUAGUCAGUUCAUGUUAUGAUGAAGACAGAAAGAAGGGAAAGAUGCCUGUGAUAUCUCAAGGACAUUUUCAUCAAAGAUGCCCAGAGUCAGUCUAGUUCAAAGAGCUAAGAAGGACAGCCAGUGAUUCUGCUUACUGAACUGAUGAAUCCCAACAGUUUCUUAUCAGCCAUCUGACCUGCUUUCUUCUCUGGCAACACACUAAUUCAUAUAAAAUCUGUAUAUGGUGCAAAGUGUCGUGUUUCAUUAUCUGGGUAAGUCCCGGGAUGGGCAGAGUGCAGCAGCAUACAGUGCUGGGGAGGGGGGAUGUGGGGGCAGCCUUCACUGCUAAUGCAGAGCUGAGAACAAGCAGCUUUGACUUGGCUGAGUCUAUCUGCCAAACUAGUGACUUCUGCUGGGAAACAGAACUUUCCCCCUCUUUCUUUAGAUCCCAGCUGAGCUUCAAUGCUCUGUGUUUCUCUCUAACAGGAAAGCUGUCUUCUCUCCUCCUCUGCCAUCUGUGCUCCAUCCUUAUUCUCACAUGUGACUUACUGUAGCUGCAGUCUCAUUAACUUUCAAUACUUGCAGCCUAACACGACUUAACUGGGGGGCUUGAAAGGAGAGGUAGGGC